UACGUAGGGUGCGAGCGUUGUCCGGAAUUACUGGGCGUAAAGCGCGUGUAGGCGGUCUCGCAAGUCGGAUGUGAAAGCCCAGGGCUCAACCCUGGAAGUGCACUCGAUACUGCGAGGCUAGAGUCCCGGAGGGGAUGGUGGAACUCUCGGUGUAGAGGUGAAAUUCGUAGAUAUCGAGAAGAACACCGGUGGCGAAGGCGGCCAUCUGGACGGUGACUGACGCUGAGACGCGAAAGCGUGGGGAGCAAACAGG
rnacentral:rRNA from 1 species